rnacentral:rRNA from 2 species
GCAGUCGACGAUGAAGCCUUUCGGGGUGGAUUAGUGGCGAACGGGUGAGUAACACGUGGGCAAUCUGCCCUUCACUCUGGGACAAGCCCUGGAAACGGGGUCUAAUACCGGAUAACACUCUGUCCCGCAUGGGACGGGGUUAAAAGCUCCGGCGGUGAAGGAUGAGCCCGCGGCCUAUCAGCUUGUUGGUGGGGUAAUGGCCUACCAAGGCGACGACGGGUAGCCGGCCUGAGAGGGCGACCGGCCACACUGGGACUGAGACACGGCCCAGACUCCUACGGGAGGCAGCAGUGGGGAAUAUUGCACAAUGGGCGAAAGCCUGAUGCAGCGACGCCGCGUGAGGGAUGACGGCCUUCGGGUUGUAAACCUCUUUCAGCAGGGAAGAAGCGAAAGUGACGGUACCUGCAGAAGAAGCGCCGGCUAACUACGUGCCAGCAGCCGCGGUAAUACGUAGGGCGCAAGCGUUGUCCGGAAUUAUUGGGCGUAAAGAGCUCGUAGGCGGCUUGUCACGUCGGAUGUGAAAGCCCGGGGCUUAACCCCGGGUCUGCAUUCGAUACGGGCUAGCUAGAGUGUGGUAGGGGAGAUCGGAAUUCCUGGUGUAGCGGUGAAAUGCGCAGAUAUCAGGAGGAACACCGGUGGCGAAGGCGGAUCUCUGGGCCAUUACUGACGCUGAGGAGCGAAAGCGUGGGGAGCGAACAGG